rnacentral:rRNA from 1 species
GACGAACGCUGGCGGCGUGCUUAACACAUGCAAGUCGAGCGGUAAGGCCCUUCGGGGUACACGAGCGGCGAACGGGUGAGUAACACGUGAGUAAUCUGCCCUUCACUCAGGGAUAACCACGGGAAACUGUGGCUAAUACCUGAUAUGACCCUUCCACGCAUGUGGUGGGGUGGAAAGUGUUUAGCGGUGAGGGAUGUGCUCGCGGCCUAUCAGCUUGUUGGUGAGGUAGUGGCUCACCAAGGCUUCGACGGGUAGCCGGCCUGAGAGGGUGACCGGCCACACUGGGACUGAGACACGGCCCAGACUCCUACGGGAGGCAGCAGUGGGGAAUAUUGGACAAUGGGCGAAAGCCUGAUCCAGCAACGCCGCGUGAGGGAUGACGGCCUUCGGGUUGUAAACCUCUUUCGCUCAUGACGAAGCGCAAGUGACGGUAGUGAGAGAAGAAGGACCGGCCAACUACGUGCCAGCAGCCGCAGUAAAAC